rnacentral:lncRNA from 1 species
GAUUCCGCCACGCAAACAGGGGUCAUUAACAUGGGUUGUUCCGGGCUGACGUGGCAACCAUUUAAAAAAAAAAAAAACCAAAACCAUCAAUUGAAGACGCAUUCCAUUUCAAUUUCUCCCAAAUCAAACACCACACACUCCAUCUUCUCCCAAAUUGAAACCCGCACCGACGAAAACCCUCCCCAUGCCUUACCAUCUUCGACCGCACGUCACUCAAAGGUAACGCCGCCGCUUCAGCAGCAAUUCCUUCGAAGAUUGUCCCGCCUCAUAGUUCACCAUCUCUGUCCAAGGUUUGUUUGUGCAACAAGAAACGUUAAUCGAAGUUGUAAUACAUUAAAAAAAAAAAAAAACACCAAAUUUAUGUUUCGACUUUAAUUUUUUUUUUUAAUUCAUAAAUAGAACUAUGAAUAUCUAUGUGAAGAAUUCCAGGAUAUAUUAUAUUAUUAUUCUAUGUUGUGUACAAUGAACACGGUAAUUACUAUAGUUUUAAGAGUUCAAACGUAAGGAUUACAAUGCAGUAUAUUCUAGUCCAUUUGAUAAUUCGUCUAAUAAGUAUGAUGGUUUUUCUGCAUUCUUCAGUCCGCAAAAUUUAGAGAGAACAAUGUAAAAUUAUGCAGCAACUAUUCAUUGAAAUUCUGACGCCAUUUUCAUACAUUGUAAAGUUUGCUUUCAUAAUCUUCAAAUCCAAGAACAAUGUAAUAGACAAAAGUAGUCCAAGAACAGCCUAUUGGACGGUAUUGGAUAUUAUCAACCUUGUAUGGUGUACAAAAAAUGAGUUUAAGAUAGUGGGAUUAAUGAGACACUGACUAGAUUUGGAAAAUGUUUUAUUGUAUACACAUCUCUUUAAGUUCAUCAAUAUCGAAUUCACGCAUUUCCAUUAGCUUCUCAAGUAUUAGUCUUGUUUAUGUAUUCUUGACUAUUGGUUUGGUUGCUUGAAUUGUUACAAUGAAUUUGCAAGGCAAAAGGGAGCACGGAAAGGAAUGCUAAAGGGAAGGAGUCGGCCUAAUUAGUACAUAUUAAUCGAAGGACUAGUUACUACAUAAACUUUUGUAUAUGUGGUAUUAUUAUGUGCGAAUGUAUGUGAACUAUGGUUGUAAACAUAUGUGAAUCUAUAAUGUGUUGGAAGUUGCACUCUUGUUUGUAACGUCGAUUUUUACUUGUAAUGAACUGAUGGGUUUAUGUACCUUUUUCCAGUUGGAAGCUAAACUCCCAACCCGUGUUAAAUACAUGCUCACAAUUUUUGGGCUGGUACUAUUCCAAGGUCUUCAAUGUAGAUUUAAAUUUCCCCUCAGGAUGUCCAGGAACAGUAGGAAGUUCAGUAUCUUCGAGUGUCAAAUGUUUAUAAAGCUGUGUUCAGUUAAUAAACACAAAGUUUGGUCCACCGUCAGUUACAGAAAAAGGAAAAGAACCUUAACAAUUACUAUUGUUUAGAGCACCAUAAAAUUGAAAUCCCAAAUAAUGGAGAAUUACUUUGGACAAGAAUCAAAAUUUCACAAUGAACGAUUACAAGGUAAAAUUAAACUCACCACCUACUUCUGUAUAUAAAAGAACCAAAGGGGGCGAUAGUGGACGAAGAAACUCAUUUAUAA